AUGUUCUUUAAAUUUAAAGAAUUUGGCGGUGGCUUAGUCUAGUCAGAGGAACCUGCUUUUAUUAUCGAUAAAACACGUAGAAUCUUACUUAUUUUUAUGAGUUUGUAUACCAUCAUUAUCAGGUAAUUUUAUAAGAAAAAAUUAUUAAAAGUGAUUAUGUUAAUAAAAUUAGAUCAAGGUGCAGCUAAUAAAUAAGUUAAAGUGGGUUACAAUAAGAUUUACUUAAGACGGAGAAAGAUUUGCAUUUAUUUUAGGAAGGUGGAUUUGAUUGUAAUAUAAAUUUAAUAAAUUUAGGAGAUAAUAGCUCUAAGUUGUGUACACAUCGCC
rnacentral:rRNA from 1 species